rnacentral:rRNA from 1 species
GGGGUGCAGCAGGCGAGAAACCUUAGCAAUGUGCGAAAGCACGACUGGGUCAGUCCGAGUGAUUCCUGAUAAAGGAGUCUUUUGCCUGUCCUAAAAGCACAGGUGAAUAAGGGGUGGGCAAGUCUGGUGUCAGCCGCCGCGGUAAUACCAGCACCUCGAGUGGUCAGGACGUUUAUUGGGCCUAAAGCAUCCGUAGCCGGCUCUGCAAGUCUUCGGUUAAAUCCACCUGCUCAACAGAUGGGCCGCUGGAGAUACUACAGAGCUAGGGAGUGGGAGAGGCAGACGGUAUUCAGUGGGUAGGGGUAAAAUCCUCUGAUCCAUUGAGGACCACCAGUGGCGAAGGCGGUCUGCCAGAACACGUUCGACGGUGAGGGAUGAAAGCUGGGGGAGCAAACCGGAUUAGAUACCCGGGUAGUCCCAGCUGUAAACGAUGCAAACUCGGUGAUGCAUUGGCUUAUGGCCAAUGCAGUGCCGCAGGGAAGCCGUUAAGUUUGCCGCCUGGAAGUACG